GAUGAACGCUGGCGGCGUGCUUAACACAUGCAAGUCGAGCGAGUGAGUUCUUCGGAACGAUCUAGCGGCGGACGGGUGAGUAACACGUGGGCAACCUGCCUCAUAGAGGGGAAUAGCCUCCCGAAAGGGAGAUUAAUACCGCAUAAAAUUAUCGAGUGGCAUCACAUGAUAAUCAAAGGAGUAAUCCGCUAUGAGAUGGGCCCGCGGCGCAUUAGCUAGUUGGUGAGGUAACGGCUCACCAAGGCGACGAUGCGUAGCCGACCUGAGAGGGUGGUCGGCCACAUUGGGACUGAGACACGGCCCAGACUCCGACGGGAGGCAGCAGUGGGGAAUAUUGCACAAUGGGGGAAACCCUGAUGCAGCAACGCCGCGUGAGUGAUGAAGGUCUUCGGAUUGUAAAGCUCUGUCUUUGGGGACGAUAAUGACGGUACCCAAGGAGGAAGCCACGGCUAACUACGUGCCAGCAGCCGCCGUAA
rnacentral:rRNA from 1 species